ACUUUCCGCAGAGUACGACGCCCCAAUUCUAAGGGUUCCGGCCUAUUCCCCAUUUGCUAAACUGCCCCUCUCCCUCACAACUAGUGCACAUAUGCAAUUAUAUAUGUGGAAAGAACACUGGAUAACCUAUCUAUACUACAUGCCGAAAAUCUAUAACUCUUCUCCGGGUUUCUCACCCACGCAAUGAGGGGAGAAAACAGUAAGCUUUCCUCGCGAGGUUCUCUGGGAAUUGUAGUUUUUAACUGCCCCUCCAUGUCCGGCGGAAGAAGGCGUUGCAAAAUAGGGAAGCGUCCCGAGCCCAUCCGCCCUGCCCAAUUAUGUUUCUGGGCAUUGUAGUCCUCAGGACCAAAGUCGAGGGCGAGCCGGAAAAAGGAGGGGGAGAGAGGAAAACGACAACUUCCAGCAUGCCGUGCGGCCGGACCCCCUCCCUAGAUGGUUCUUUUCUCCCUCUUCCCAUUACCUUUGGGCUGCGCUGUAUGACGAGGAAGGCUCGGCGGGCUGAGGUUGAGUGACUGCUGCUGAGUCCUGAGAGGGAGGGGCCGAUGCGGAAGAGAUGAGUCGCACAAAAGUUGAUGAGGAAGAGUACUGGCACAGCUCCAAGUUCAAGGCUUUUACAUUUGAUGAUGAUGAUGAUGAACUUUGCCAGUUAAAGGAGUCCAAACGGGCAGUGAACAGCCUUCGGGACAUUGUGGAUGAUGAUGAUGAUGACUUGGAGAGAGUCAGCUGGAGUGGAGAACCUGUGGGGAGCAUCUCUUGGUCCAUCAAAGAGACAGCUUCCAGUGGUGGUCCUGCCCUUGAGGGACGUGAGCAGCUGAAGACUCGAAACAGCUUAUCCUCCUAUCCUCCACUACCUAAGCCUGCCUCCACCUACUCUCUGAGUAGCUUCUUCAAAGGAAGAAGCAGACUUGGGAGUUUCCAGUCCCUUUCAGAUGCCCUCUCAGAUAUACCUCCCAAAAACUAUGCUCCUGAGCUGCGAAGACCUAAGGGUGAAUACAAGGAUUACAGCAGUGACUGGAGCCUCAGUGACACAGUCAGGCGUCUGCAGAAGGGUAAGGUCUGCUCCUUAGAGAGGUUCCGCUCCCUACAGGACAAGCUCCAACUUCUGGAAGAAGCAGUGACUAUCCAUGAUGGGAACGUCAUUACUGCCGUUUUGAUCUUCCUUAAGAGGACCCUCAGCAAAGAGAUCCUUUUCCGAGAGCUAGAAGUGCGACAGAUUGCCCUGAGACAUCUCAUUCACUUUCUUAAAGAGAUAGGUGAUCAGAAGAUGCUACUAGACCUUUUCAGGUAUCUGGACAGAACAGAAGAACUUGCACUGUCCCAGUACCAAGAACACUUAAGCAUCCAAGAUCCUGAGAAGCGGAAAGAAUUUCUCAAAAGUUGUAUUGGUUUGCCAUUUUCAGUGGAAGAUGCUGCUCAUGUUCAAGACCAUUAUACACUCCUGGAACGACAGAUCAUCAUUGAGGUGAAUGAUCGACAUUUAGAAUCUUCAGGGCAGACAGAAAUCUUCCGGAAACAUCCACGUAAGGCCUCCAUCCUCAACAUGCCACUGGUGACAACUCUCUUCUACUCCUGCUUUUAUCAUUACACAGAACCUGAGGGAACAUUUAGCAGUCCCAUCAAUCUGAAAAAAACUUUUAAGAUUCCUGACAAGCAGUAUGUACUGACAGCACUGGCUGCCCGUGCCAAACUCCGAGCAUGGCAGGAUGUGGAUGCCCUCUUCACCACCAAGAAUUGGCUAGGAUAUACCAAGAAGAGAGCUCCCAUUGGCUUCCAUCGAGUUGUGGAAAUUCUGCACAAGAACAAUGCCCCUGUACAGGUCUUACAAGAAUAUAUCCGACUUGUGGAAGAUGUGGACACAAAGCUGAAUCUUGCUACCAAAUUUAAGUGCCAUGAUGUUGUCAUUGAACCGUAGGACACAAACUGUUCACAAAGGAGCUGCUAGAGGAGUGCUUCAAGGACCUAGUAAGAACAGCAGUUGGCUGAAUAGAUUGAGUAGUAAUCUUUUAUAUGAGCCUUGAUGCCAGCAGUGAUUGAUUUGAGCAGGAUUUCUUUCAAGCUUCGGAAGAAAAUUAGGGUUAUCCUAUGAAGCAAAUUCGAUGGAAGAACUAACUGGAAAGUAAUGAACUUAGGAACCUUCCUGUUUACCCUCUUCCUGUCCCCAAGAGAGGAGGGGGGAACUCUAAGCCACAUCAUUUGGUCUUGUCACUGAUAGGCAGAGCCUAUACCUGGGACAGAUCAGACCUUAAACCAGGACAUCUUUAAAAUGAGCCUCAGACCAGAGGACACGUAUGAUGGCUAAGCCUUAAAGCUGUGAUUUGCAAGUCCCUGCUAACUGGGUACUUUUGUGAACAUCAGAGAAGAUAUAUUUUCAAGUUUGUAAUUCUAGGGCACAUUCUUGCUUAACUGAGAAUAUGAUUACUUCAGAAAAGAAGUAUCCUGGAAGACUGAGUGUCAGGCACUUUGGGGCUAGAAGCUUUCCUUUCAGCUGGUGGUGGAACUAAGUUUCGUCAGACAGCGGCUAUUCUAAGUCAAAUUAAAAGGCAGUUGUAUCUACAUUAUAGGAACAGAAGGAAGGCUCUGAAGAUUUGCAGGGAAUAGUCUGACAAUGGUAAUCAAUUCACAACCAUUUUUAUUAGGCCUCUGAAAUUGUUUUUCCAUCAAGUGUCUUUCUGCUACACCAUCUGACCUUUUAUCUCAAGAGAUUAUGGUUGCUUUCUCUGGCAUAUUCAGAGUCUCUCUUAUGCUGGUGAUGAGAGCAGAUCCCCAUUAUUUUUCUUCUUCUACUAACCCAGGCCUAACAUAUUUUUAGAGGUCAGAUGUAGUCCCCUCCAGAUUCCAGCAGUGCUGGGAAAUACUCUCUGGAUGGUUUCUCAGCCCUUUUUUGGAAGCUGCAGAUAGGUCUACCUGGGGUAGAUCCCAACUCAGUCCUGCCUCUGGUCUACUAUGGAUUGUGAUGGGGGUCACAUUUUUUUUUUUCACCCUUGGUUUUCACAAGGGCAUUAUGCUAAGCUUGAUUACUACUCUGCACCAAGUUUAGUUUCCUUUCCUGUGUCAGAGCUGACUUACUCUGUCUUCUACAAACUCUUAAUAAAGCUGUUUCUCUGCCUCCUUA